GGUUAAGCGACUAAGCGUACACGGUGGAUGCCCUGGCAGUCAGAGGCGAUGAAGGACGUGCUAAUCUGCGAAAAGCGUCGGUAAGGUGAUAUGAACCGUUAUAACCGGCGAUGUCCGAAUGGGGAAACCCAGUGCAAUUCGUUGCACUAUCGUUAACUGAAUACAUAGGUUAACGAGGCGAACCGGGGGAACUGAAACAUCUAAGUACCCCGAGGAAAAGAAAUCAACCGAGAUUCCCCCAGUAGCGGCGAGCGAACGGGGAGCAGCCCAGAGUCUGAAUCAGCUUGUGUGUUAGUGGAACGGUCUGGAAAGUCCGACGGUACAGGGUGAUAGUCCCGUACACCAAAAUGCACAGGCUGUGAACUCGAAGAGUAGGGCGGGACACGUGGUAUCCUGUCUGAAUAUGGGGGGACCAUCCUCCAAGGCUAAAUACUCCUGACUGACCGAUAGUGAACCAGUACCGUGAGGGAAAGGCGAAAAGAACCCCGGCGAGGGGAGUGAAAAAGAACCUGAAACCGUGUACGUACAAGCAGUGGGAGCACCUUCGGGUGUGACUGCGUACCUUUUGUAUAAUGGGUCAGCGACUUAUAUUCUGUAGCAAGGUUAACCGUAUAGGGGAGCCGCAGGGAAACCGAGUCUUAACUGGGCGUUAAGUUGCAGGGUAUAGACCCGAAACCCGGUGAUCUAGCCAUGGGCAGGUUGAAGGUUGGGUAAC
rnacentral:rRNA from 1 species